GUUGUAUGGUUAAGUGAAUAAGCGUGCACGGUGGAUGCCUAGGCAAUUAGAGGCGAUGAAGGACGUGGUAAUCUGCGAUAAGUCCAGGGGAGUUGAUAACAAGCG
rnacentral:rRNA from 1 species